CGUAGGUGACCUGCGGAGGAUCAUUACCGAGUGUAGGGUUCCUAGCGAGCCCAACCUCCCACCCGUGUUUACUGUACCUUAGUUGCUUCGGCGGGCCCGCCAUUCAUGGCCGCCGGGGGCUCUCAGCCCCGGGCCCGCGCCCGCCGGAGACACCACGAACUCUGUCUGAUCUAGUGAAGUCUGAGUUGAUUGUAUCGCAAUCAGUUAAAACUUUCAACAAUGGAUCUCUUGGUUCCGGCAUCGAUGAAGAACGCAGCGAAAUGCGAUAACUAGUGUGAAUUGCAGAAUUCCGUGAAUCAUCGAGUCUUUGAACGCACAUUGCGCCCCCUGGUAUUCCGGGGGGCAUGCCUGUCCGAGCGUCAUUGCUGCCCAUCAAGCACGGCUUGUGUGUUGGGUCGUCGUCCCCUCUCCGGGGGGGACGGGCCCCAAAGGCAGCGGCGGCACCGCGUCCGAUCCUCGAGCGUAUGGGGCUUUGUCACCCGCUCUGUAGGCCCGGCCGGCGCUUGCCGAACGCAAAUCAAUCUUUUUCCAGGUUGACCUCGGAUCAGGUAGGGAUACCCGCUGAACUUAAGCAUAUCAAAA
rnacentral:rRNA from 1 species